UCGCAAGAGGGGGUGGAAAGUAGGUUGGAAGAAACAGAAUAUGAAUGGAGGUACUGCAAAUUCAACGAAAGGAGUUGUGUUUAAAGGGCCGAAGUAACACGGCAAAGAAAAUGAACUACCUGGGGAUAAGCAGCCGCUGCCAACUUAAAUGCAACUUAACCCUCAGACACUGAUUGUUUUCCCACUGUUGUCUAUCACUAUUGUUAGACAUUAGUGGGGUGGUGUGGAACAUUUCACAUGGAAAUGAAUGCUAGUCAUAAAUAUCACACCAGAACCUACAUCAGUUACCUCUACGCUAGCCUAGGCUAAUUGCCGUUGUCAAUUCGUAACACCUCCAAAUACGGUCCUCCCUUUAUAAUAUUCAGUCUUUUCAGCAGUCUGGGCAUACGAGUAUUACAAGGUCCAUGGGUAUGAAGCAACAUCUGCAUUCGUAAUACAAUCUCAUAAAAAACAAGCUUGUAGUACCACGUAUAAAUGAACAAUGAAAUUUACAUUAAUCAAACAUGGCGCCUCCAUAUAUUGUCUAAUUGUUGCUUAAUUUUUUUCUGAAAGUAACAUCAUAUAGUACUCCCGUCACUGUUUGAUUAUCGAAAACCUUAGAAUAUCGGUCACCCACUUGUUAAUGGUAACUGCACAUAAGAUCAAAUGAGGGUAAAAAUUGGAGCAGGUUAAAUAGCUCUUGAAGAUCCUGAUCAACUCAAAACACCCGUGUAAUGGCGAAGUGUAAACAAAAGCAAUCAUAUUUCUGCAUUCUAGGCCUACCAACACCUCGGUAACUAUUUAAUUGAAAAUUUUAGUGGAUCUUAUUUGGCUAAAAUACUAACAAAAUCCUAGAUUAUAUAAUUAUGCUGUAUCUGAAUCAAAGUUUAAAGGCAAAUAUCUAAAUUCCUCCUGCUCUUAUAUAAGUGACGUCAGAGGUAGGAAUGUCGAGCUUUCGUUGUUUGUUUUGAGAUUAUAUAUUGAAAAGGUAUUCCACAGUCCGCGCCACCAUAUGACCAUAGUACAUACAUUCGGUGUGACCCGUACGUUUACGUUCCGGUAUAAUCGUGUGUCUACGAAAUUGUAGUUCAGAGCGAUAACCAAUGACCUCCUUGAAAGCAAAGAUUUUAUGAAGGUGACAGGCCCCGCCCACUAUCGGAGCACUCGAGAAACAGCUUGGCAGGCAUAAAUUGUCGAGGAUACAAUCACAAUUAGUAGAAGAAGACCAAUCACAGCCCCCAAGAUAACAUAUAAAAUGAGAUUGGAAAACAUCACAGAGCUAUCGUUCUUCUUAAUGGACCUUUCUUC